AAGUCAUUAGAUUAAUUGGUUAAAUCAUGAUUCUUACACAAUCAAAAAAUAGGUUCAAAUCCUAUAUGACUUA